GUUGAACGCUGGCGGAAUGCUUUACACAUGCAAGUCGAACGGCAGCACGGACUUCGGUCUGGUGGCGAGUGGCGAACGGGUGAGUAAUGUAUCGGAACGUGCCCAGUCGUGGGGGAUAACGUAGUGAAAAUUACGCUAAUACCGCAUGCGAUCUAUGGAUGAAAGCGGGGGAUCGCAAGACCUCGCGCGAUUGGAGCGGCCGAUAUCAGAUUAGGUAGUUGGUGGGGUAAAGGCCCACCAAGCCAACGAUCUGUAGCUGGUCUGAGAGGACGACCAGCCACACUGGAACUGAGACACGGUCCAGACUCCUACGGGAGGAAGCAGUGGGGAAUUUUGGACAAUGGGCGAAAGCCUGAUCCAGCCAUUCCGCGUGCAGGAUGAAGGCCCUCGGGUUGUAAACUGCUUUUGUACAGAACGAAAAGGUUUCUACUAAUACUAGGAGCUCAUGACGGUACUGUAAGAAUAAGCACCGGCUAACUACGUGCCAGCCGCCGCAGUAA
rnacentral:rRNA from 1 species